AUGAACGCUGGCGGUACGCUUAACACAUGCAAGUCGAACGGGUAGUAAUACCAGUGGCAAACGGGUGAGUAAUAUACAGGAAUCUGCCGAAAAGUGGGGGAUAGCUCGAAGAAAUUCGAAUUAAUCCCGCAUGAUGCCGAAAGGUAAAAGCUUUAUGCGCUUUUUGAUGAGCCUGUACUCGAUUAGCUAGUUGGUGGGGUAAAGGCCUACCAAGGCUACGAUCGAUAGCUGGUCUGAGAGGACGAUCAGCCACAGUGGAACUGAGACUCGGUCCACACUCCUACGGGAGGCAGCAGUGGGGAAUUUUCCGCAAUGGGCGAAAGCCUGACGGAGCGAUACCGCGUGUCGG
rnacentral:rRNA from 1 species